rnacentral:rRNA from 1 species
GCCUAAUAUUGCAUGUCGAACGAAGCACUUGUGCUUAGUGGCAAAUGGGUGAGUAACACGUACUUAAUCUACCCCCAAGUUUGGGAUAACAGUUGGAAACAAUUGCUAAUACCAAAUACAUAUAAGUUUUGCAUAAUUCUUAUAUAAAAGGAGCGUUUGUUUCGCUAGGGGAUGAGAGUGCGCUACAUUAGUUAGUUGGUAGGGUAAGAGCCUACCAAGACUAUGAUGUAUAGCGGGGCUGAGAAGCUGAACCGCCACACUGGGACUGAGAUACGGCCCAGACUCCUACGGGAGGCAGCAGUAGGGAAUAUUCCACAAUGAGCGAAAGCUUGAUGGAGCAACACAGCGUGCAGGAAGACGACCUUAGGGUUGUAAACUGCUGUUAUGAGGGAAGAAAAAUAAAAUUAGGAAAUGAAUUUUACAUGACGGUACCUCAUCAGAAAGCACCGGCAAACUAUGUGCCAGCAGCCGCGGUAAUACAUAGGGUGCAAGCGUUAUCCGGAAUUAUUGGGCGUAAAGUGUCUGUAGGUGGUAUGUUAAGUCUAGUGUUAAAGACUAGGGCCCAACCCUAGCACGCUCUAGAUACUGACAUGCUAGAGUCAUAGAGAGGUUAGCGGAACUCCUAGUGAAGCGGUGAAAUGUGUAGAUAUUAGGAAGAACACCAAUAGCGAAGGCAGCUAACUGGAUAUGUACUGACACUCAGAGACGAAAGCGUGGGUAGCAAACAGGAUUAGAUACCCUGGUAGUCCACGCCG